rnacentral:rRNA from 1 species
UACGGAGGGGCUAGCGUUGUUCGGAAUUACUGGGCGUAAAGGGCGCGUAGGCGGCGCGAUAAGUUGGGCGUGAAAGGCCCGGGCUCAACCCGGGGACUGCGCUUGAUACUGUCGCGCUGUGAGUCCGGGAGAGGAUGGCGGAAUUCCCAGUGUAGAGGUGAAAUGCGUAGAGAUCCGGAGGAACACCGAAGGCGAAGGCAGUGUCCUGGCGCGUAACUGACGCUGAGGUGCGAAAGCCAGGGGAGCGAACGGG